GAUGAACGCUGGCGGCGUGCCUAAUGCAUGCAAGUCGAGCGAACAGACGAGGAGCUUGCUCCUCUGACGUUAGCGGCGGACGGGUGAGUAACACGUGGAUAACCUACCUAUAAGACUGGGAUAACUUCGGGAAACCGGAGCUAAUACCGGAUAAUAUAUUGAACCGCAUGGUUCAAUAGUGAAAGACGGUUUUGCUGUCACUUAUAGAUGGAUCCGCGCCGCAUUAGCUAGUUGGUAAGGUAACGGCUUACCAAGGCAACGAUGCGUAGCCGACCUGAGAGGGUGAUCGGCCACAUUGGAACUGAGAGACGGUCCAGACUCCUACGGGAGGCCGCAGUGGGGAAGCUUCCGAAAUGGGCGAAAGCCUGACGGAGCAACGCCGCGGGAGUGAUGAAGGUCUUCGGAUCGUAAAACUCUGUUAUUAGGGAAGAACAAAUGUGUAAGUAACUAUGCACGUCUUGACGGUACCUAAUCAGAAAGCCACGGCUAACUACGUG
rnacentral:rRNA from 1 species